rnacentral:rRNA from 1 species
GACGAACGCUGGCGGCAUGCCUUACACAUGCAAGUCGAACGGCAGCACGGGAGCAAUCCUGGUGGCGAGUGGCGAACGGGUGAGUAAAGUAUCGGAACGUGCCCAGUCGUGGGGGAUAACGUAGCGAAAGUUACGCUAAUACCGCAUACGAUCUAUGGAUGAAAGCGGGGGAUCGUAAGACCUCGCGCGAUUGGAGCGGCCGAUAUCAGAUUAGGUAGUUGGUGGGGUAAAGGCCCACCAAGCCGACGAUCUGUAGCUGGUCUGAGAGGACGAGCAGACACACUGGGACUGAGACACGGCCCAGACUCCUACGGGAGGCAGCAGUGGGGAAUUUUGGACAAUGGGCGAAAGCCUGAUCCAGCCAUGCCGCGUGCAGGAUGAAGGCCUUCGGGUUGUAAACUGCUUUUGUACGGAACGAAAAGGACUGCCCUAAUACGGUGGUCCCAUGACGGUACCGUAAGAAUAAGCACCGGCUAACUACGUGCCAGCCGCCGCAGUAACAC